GCAGUUCUGAAAAUAUUUUUCAGGGCCCUGUGCCCACUCACUCUGAGACUAGGCAGACACCUUGCUGUGCUGUGUUGCUUCAACUUCCUUGUUUCCUGGCAGUGGAUUGAGUCAGGAGGAGACCCAAAUCAUAGCUGAGACAGACCACAUGCAGAUACGCAUUCACAGCUGCGUGGUUGGAGCUACAGCUGGGAUACCCAGAAGCAGAGGAUCAGACCAACAUCAGACCAACGGCUUGCAAGUGCCUUGGCUACAGAUCUCAGUCUGUGUUCUGCUUAAGGAGCAGGGUAUCUGGCAAGUACUUUCCCAGAGGAUUUAAUUGAGAAAUCACACUGUGACGUAGACAGUUUUUGGGAAA